CCACAUCCGGCCGCCGGCACUGGAUUGCUCCUGUCUGGCGGCGGCAGCAUGGCGGCGGGGGCGGCUGAGGCAGCUGUAGCGGCCCUGGAGGAGGUCGGCUCAGCCGGGCAGUUUGAGGAGCUGCUGCGCCUCAAAGCCAAGUCUCUCCUUGUGGUCCAUUUCUGGGCACCAUGGGCUCCACAGUGUGCACAGAUGAACGAAGUUAUGGCAGAGUUAGCUAAAGAACUCCCUCAAGUUUCAUUUGUGAAGUUGGAAGCUGAAGGUGUUCCUGAAGUAUCUGAAAAAUAUGAAAUUAGCUCUGUUCCCACUUUUCUGUUUUUCAAGAAUUCUCAGAAAAUCGACCGAUUAGAUGGUGCACAUGCCCCAGAGUUGACCAAAAAAGUUCAGCGACAUGCAUCUAGUGGCUCCUUCCCACCCAGCGCUAAUGAACAUCUUAAAGAAGAUCUCAACCUUCGCUUGAAGAAGUUGACUCAUGCUGCCCCCUGCAUGCUGUUUAUGAAAGGAACUCCUCAAGAACCACGCUGUGGUUUCAGCAAGCAGAUGGUGGAAAUUCUUCACAAACAUAAUAUUCAGUUUAGCAGUUUUGACAUCUUCUCAGAUGAAGAGGUUCGACAGGGACUCAAAGCCUAUUCCAAUUGGCCUACCUAUCCUCAGCUCUACGUUUCUGGAGAGCUCAUAGGAGGACUUGAUAUAAUUAAGGAGCUAGAAGCAUCUGAAGAACUAGAUACAAUUUGUCCCAAAGCUCCCAAAUUAGAGGAAAGGCUCAAAGUGCUGACAAAUAAAGCUUCUGUGAUGCUCUUUAUGAAAGGAAACAAACAGGAAGCAAAAUGUGGAUUCAGCAAACAAAUUCUGGAAAUAUUAAAUAGUACUGGUGUUGAAUAUGAAACAUUCGAUAUAUUGGAGGAUGAAGAAGUUCGGCAAGGAUUAAAAGCUUACUCAAAUUGGCCAACAUACCCUCAGCUGUAUGUGAAAGGGGAGCUGGUGGGAGGAUUGGAUAUUGUGAAGGAACUGAAAGAAAAUGGUGAAUUGCUGCCUAUACUGAGAGGAGAAAAUUAAUAAAUCUUAAACUUGGUGCCCAACUAUUACGGGGUCUGGCUCUGUCACCCAGGCUGGAGUGCAGUGGCACGAUUAUGGCUCACUGCAGCCUCGACUUCUUGGGGCCAAGCGAUCCUCCUGCCUCAGCCUUCUGAGUAGCUGGGACCACAGGCGUGCACCACCAUGCCCACCUAAUUUUUUUUAUUUCUUGUAGAGAUGAGGUCUCCUGCCUCAGCCUCCCAAAGUGCUGGAAUUUACAGACAGGGUCUCCUCUGUCACCCAGGCUGGAGUGCAGUGGUGCAAUCAUGGCUCACAGCAUCCUUCCUCCCAGGCUCAAGAUCCUCCCCCCUCAGCCUCCUCAGUAGCUGAGAUGACAGGCAUGUGCCACCAUGCCUGGCUGUGUUUUGAUUUUUUUUUGUAGAGAUGAAGUCUCACUGUGUUGCCCAGGCUGGUCUCAAUCUCCUGGGCUCAAGUGAUCCUCCCACCUCAGCCUCCCAAAGUGUUGGGAUUACAGGCCUGAGCCACCAUGCCUGACCUAAGAUCAGUUUUCUUAAAUUUGACAGUUGCUACUUUUCAAAAUUCAAACCUUUCUAAAUAAAAGUAAGUUGAUUAUUUGCAGAUGAAUUCUUGUUUUAUACACAUUUCAGAUGUUGACUUUGAGGACCUAGACCCUUCCCUUUUUGUCUAGUCGCAUUUCCUUCCUCAUGGCCGUCCACCAAUGAUUGAAUCAGCGUCAACAUGAACAGUUUCUCUUGCGGCUUUGGCUCUUCUUUUCUGAAGGCUCCUGUGUCACAUAGACUUAAAUAAAUCUUAUGCUUUUCUCUUGUUAA